CCUACGGGAGGCAGCAGUGAGGAAUAUUGGUCAAUGGCCGGAAGGCGGAACCAGCCAAGUCGCGUGAGGGAAGAAGGCCCUAUGGGUCGUAAACCUCUUUUGUCAGGGAGCAAAGGCGUCCACGUGUGGACGAGAGGAGAGCACCUGAAGAAAAAGCAGCGGCAAACUCCGUGCCAGAAGCCGCGGUAAUACGGAGGAUGCGAGCGUUUUCCGGAUUGAUUGGGUUAAAGGGGGGCGUAGGGGGAGGGUCAAGUCAGCGGUAAAAUUUCGGGGCUCACCCCCGGCGUGCCGUUGAAACUGCCGCCCUUGAGUGGGUGAGAGGUAAGCGGAAUGCGUGGUGUAGCGGUGAAAUGCAUAGAUAUCACGCAGAACGCCGAUUGCGAAGGCAGCUUACCGGCGCUCAACUGACGCUGAGGCACGAAAGUGCGGGUAUCGAACAGGAUUAGAUACCCGGGUAGUC
rnacentral:rRNA from 1 species